rnacentral:rRNA from 1 species
UACGGAAGGUCCGGGCGUUAUCCGGAUUUAUUGGGUUUAAAGGGAGCGCAGGCCGCCCCUUAAGCGUGUUGUGAAAUGCCGCGGCUCAACCGUGGCACUGCAGCGCGAACUGGCAGACUUGAGUUGGCGAGAAGUACGCGGAAUGCGCGGUGUAGCGGUGAAAUGCAUAGAUAUCGCGCAGAACUCCGAUUGCGAAGGCAGCCUACCGUAGCGUUACUGACGCUGAGGCUCGAAGGUGCGGGUAUCGAACAGG